rnacentral:lncRNA from 1 species
AUGCGUUCAUUCACAGAAACAUCUUGUUGAGGACCAGACUGCUCUGAAGAGCUCCACACUUGCUCAUGGUUCUCAUUAAAGAAGAUUCAUGUAAGGGCCAAUGGACACCUGAUCCCCUGCUGCCUUUGUUUGAAAUCCAAGAAGUUUCCUUGUGCUGAUUUAACUGCCUGCAGUCUUUUCUAUCAUAAAAAACAAAACAAAACAAAACAAUGCUGAUUCUGUCCAUUUUAACCCCUGUGUGAAACUGACUUUUAACAUACUUGUGCGU